rnacentral:miRNA from 1 species
UAAGUUAGGAUUCUAGUUACC